GAUGAACGCUGGCGGCGUGCCUAAUACAUGCAAGUCGAGCGAACGGACGAGAAGCUUGCUUCUCUGAUGUUAGCGGCGGACGGGUGAGUAACACGUGGAUAACCUACCUAUAAGACUGGGAUAACUUCGGGAAACCGGAGCUAAUACCGGAUAAUAUUUUGAACCGCAUGGUUCAAAAGUGAAAGACGGUCUUGCUGUCACUUAUAGAUGUAUCCGCGCUGCAUUAGCUAGUUGGUAAGGUAACGGCUUACCAAGGCAACGAUGCAUAGCCGACCUGAGAGGGUGAUCGGCCACACUGGAAGUGAGACACGGUCCAGACUCCUACGGGAGGCAGAAGUAGGGAAUCUUGCGCAAUGGGCGAAAGCCUGACGGAGCAACGCCGCGUGAGUGAUGAAGGUCUUCGGAUCGUAAAACUCUGUUAUUAGGGAAGAACAUAUGUGUAAGUAACUGUGCACAUCUUGACGGUACCUAGUCAGAAAGCCACGGCUAACUACGUG
rnacentral:rRNA from 1 species